AUAUAGCAUAUCAAUAAGCGGAGGAAAAGAAACUAACAAAGGAUUCCCCUAGUAACUGCGAGUGAAGCGGGAAAAGCUCAAAUUUAAAAUCUGGUGGUCUUUGGCCAUCCGAGUUGUAAUUUAGAGAAGCGUCUUCCGCGCUGGACCGUGCACAAGUCUCCUGGAAUGGAGCGUCAUAGAGGGUGAGAAUCCCGUCUUUGGCAUGGAAUCCCAGGGCUUCUGUGAUGCGCUCUCGACGAGUCGAGUUGUUUGGGAAUGCAGCUCAAAAUGGGUGGUGAACUCCAUCUAAAGCUAAAUAUUGGCGAGAGACCGAUAGCGAACAAGUACCGUGAGGGAAAGAUGAAAAGCACUUUGGAAAGAGAGUGAAACAGUACGUGAAAUUGUUGAAAGGGAAACGCUUCAAGUCAGUCGCGUCGACCGAGACUCAGCCUUGCCUCGGCUUGGUGUACUUCUCGGCUGACGGGUCAGCAUCGAUUUCGAUCCUCGGAUAAUGGCGAGGGAAAGGUAGCACCUUUUUAGGUGUGUUAUAGUCCUCCGUCGCAUGCGAGGGUCGGGAUCGAGGAACUCAGCGCGCACCUCAGGGUGUCGGGGCCUUUUGGCCCACGUUUACGUGCUUAGGAUGCUGGCGUAAUGGCUUUAAACGACCCGUCUUGAAACACGGACCAAGGAGUCUAACAUGCCCGCGAGUGUUCGGGUGGAAAACCCGUGCGCGUAAUGAAAGUAAAAGUUGGGACCUCUGUCGCGGAGGGCACCGACGCCCGGACCAGACCUUCUGUGACGGCUCUGCGGUAGAGCGUGUAUGUUGGGACCCGAAAGAUGGUGAACUAUGCCUGAAUAGGGUGAAGCCAGAGGAAACUCUGGUGGAGGCUCGUAGCGAUUCUGACGUGCAAAUCGAUCGUCAAAUUUGGGUAUAGGGGCGAAAGACUAAUCGAAACCAUCUAGUAGCUGGGAUACCUGCCGAUCU
rnacentral:rRNA from 1 species